AAGUACCAUUGGCCUUGUCAAUAGAAGUCUUAAGUGCAGCAACCCAGAGUAUAAGUGAAUCUUCGUUAUCAACGCGAAAUUCGAUAGGUUUGUUUUGCGUAAUUACGGUAAAAAAGUAUUUGUGUGAGCUUUCCGGAACGUUUAUUUCAGCAACAUCCUGAAUGUCGGCUAUCGGUAUCACUUUAACAGGUUUGUACUCUCGGUUCGUGUUGUAAAUAGUCAUACCAUAUCCACGAACAACAGCCCAACACUUGGACCACCUAUGUAAAUUUCCAUGUAGCCAGUGAAUGGUUCCUUGCAUAAGAACUUUAUUUUCAUCCAAGAGUUUAUAGAGAUUUUGUAAGGAAGCCGAAUGCCUGUGCUUAUUCAGCGUAUUAACUUCUUGUGGGUUGAAGGGGUAAUUUGCAUUUUCUUCAUUGAUACCUGGUGGUCUCAACUUUCCAAACUGUAUCAAAUCAUAAAGUGAAGUACAGAAAUGGUCACCCUGACCAGUUUCCAAGUCUAAAGGAGAAGUCGUUUGAUUACGAGGUUCAGUCGAAAUAUUGUCGAAGUCAGUAUCAGAGAUCUGAACGUUAGGCUCGCUUUCGGUUCGAGAUGAAGAGUUCGCAAGGAUAUAACUGAUAGGAUGUCUUGAAAACGGUGCCCUAUAACCCGUUGUGGAUCUUAGAACAUGAACCCAUUCCUCAGCAUCCUCAUUUGAAGUGGCAAUGAGACGAAUUAUCUUUUCAUUUAAAUACAGGAAAAAAGCUAAACAUUAGAUAUAAACAUCAAAAAUUCUAACGUACUUUUUGGUGAUUUUUCUUUGUAGUAGGCAACAGCUGAAAUAUCCUGAGUAGGGAAAAUAAAUUUGGUUUUGUACUCCUUGAAGACUGUUAGCGCGUCGUUGAAAUUUGCACAUUUUAUUCACAAACCUUUUCGUCUUUGUAAAAAGAUAACUGAUCUCUGCGAAGAACAGCCCAUAAUUGCUUUUUAGUCUAGGUUGUUAGCAUCCACUACAAAAAAAACCAUGAGUGCAAAUAUUGACUCUGAAACGGGAAGCAAAUAAUUGGAAUAUUCUGAAAAUCAAUUGGUCAAAGUGCUUGUAGGGUGCUGUUUGCAUCAUCAUAUCCCCAAAUCAAAAGCGAACAAUAAAGAAUUAAGAGUACGUAUCAUUCACUUCUAAGUACACUUCACAAAAUUAAAGAAUACUCCAAAUCCCUUUCCACUCAAACGUAUCGUAAAUAUUACUCAGACAACUAAGUUAAUGAAUACAUACAGAAGUUGCAUGUCCUUUCUUUAUCAACCAUCCGGAUUUUAAAACACGCUCAAGCUCUGGAAGCCUUCUUGCUUCAUCAAGGCUAGCAGUUCUGAGAUGCGAUGAAACUCCUGGGUCCAUUUCAUCAAGCGAAUAGUCAAACUAAUAAACGCCUUC